GAUGAACGCUAGCGGCAGGCCUAAUACAUGCAAGUCGAACGAUAUUUUCCAGCUUGCUGGGAGAGAAAGUGGCGCACGGGUGCGUAACGCGUAUGCAACCUACCUUUAUCAGGGGGAUAGCCCGGAGAAAUCCGGAUUAAUACCGCAUAAAAUCACAGAACGGCAUUGUUCAAUGAUCAAACAUUUAUGGGAUAAAGAUGGGCAUGCGUGUCAUUAGCUAGUUGGCGGGGUAACGGCCCACCAAGGCGACGAUGACUAGGGGAUCUGAGAGGAUGGCCCCCCACACUGGUACUGAGACACGGACCAGACUCCUACGGGAGGCAGCAGUAAGGAAUAUUGGUCAAUGGAGGCAACUCUGAACCAGCCAUGCCGCGUGCAGGAAGACUGCCCUAUGGGUUGUAAACUGCUUUUAUCCGGGAAUAAACCUCCGAUCAUGAUCGGAGCUGAAUGUACCGGAAGAAUAAGGAUCGGCUAACUCCGUGCCAGCAGCCGCCGUAA
rnacentral:rRNA from 1 species